GCCUGGGUGGCUCAGUCGGUUGAGCGUCUGACUUCGGCUCAGGUCAUGAUCUCACGGUUCGUGAGUUCGAGCCCCGCGUCAGGCU
rnacentral:tRNA from 1 species